rnacentral:rRNA from 1 species
AGAGUUUGAUCCUGGCUUAGGACGAACGCUGGCGGCGUGCCUAACACAUGCAAGUCGAGCGGGGACUUUACGACUGAAUUGAAGACUUCGGUUGAAUAUGAAGAUGUAAAGUUCUAGCGGCGGACGGGUGAGUAACGCGUGAGCAACCUGUCCCUUACAGGGGGAUAACACAGCGAAAGUUGUACUAAUACCGCAUGAGACCACAGAGUGACAUCACUCAGGGGUCAAAGGAGCAAUCCGGUAAGGGGUGGGCUCGCGUCCGAUUAGAUAGUUGGUGAGGUAACGGCCCACCAAGUCGACGAUCGGUAGCCGACCUGAGAGGGUGAUCGGCCACAUUGGGACUGAGACACGGCCCAAACUCCUACGGGAGGCAGCAGUGGGGAAUAUUGGGCAAUGGGGGGAAACCCUGACCCAGCAACGCCGCGUGAGGGAAGAAGGUUUUCGGAUCGUAAACCUCUGUCCUUGGUGAAGAGGAAGAGACGGUAGCCAAGGAGGAAGCCCCGGCUAACUACGUGCCAGCCGCGGC